ACUAUUACCUGGCAGGGGAGACACGUUGAUCACGAAUGAAGUUUUCCCAGGGGGAGACUCAUCCAUUGCACUCUGAGUGUGCUGACCCCUGGGAUUUCCCCAAUUGUGGGAAACUUGACUGCAUAAUUUGUGGAUUACAGAUCCUUAAAUUGCUGC